rnacentral:tRNA from 1 species
GCCUAUGUGGCUUAGUUGGUUAGAGCAUCCUCCUGUGCACUGGAAGUUCAUGGGUUCAAUUCCCGGUCAGGGCA